rnacentral:rRNA from 1 species
AUUGAACGCUGGCGGCAGGCUUAACACAUGCAAGUCGAGCGGGGGAGGUUGCUUCGGUAACUGACCUAGCGGCGGACGGGUGAGUAAUGCUUAGGAAUCUGCCUAUUAGUGGGGGACAACAUUCCGAAAGGAAUGCUAAUACCGCAUACGUCCUACGGGAGAAAGCAGGGGAUCUUCGGACCUUGCGCUAAUAGAUGAGCCUAAGUCGGAUUAGCUAGUUGGUGGGGUAAAGGCCUACCAAGGCGACGAUCUGUAGCGGGUCUGAGAGGAUGAUCCGCCACACUGGGACUGAGACACGGCCCAGACUCCUACGGGAGGCAGCAGUGGGGAAUAUUGGACAAUGGGGGGAACCCUGAUCCAGCCAUGCCGCGUGUGCGAAGAAGGCCUUAUGGUUGUAAAGCACUUUAAGCGAGGAGGAGGCUCUUAAGGUUAAUACCCUUGAUGAGUGGACGUUACUCGCAGAAUAAGCACCGGCUAACUCUGUGCCAGCCGCCGCAGUAAAAC